AUCUCGGCUCUCGCAUCGAUGAAGAACGUAGCGAAAUGCGAUACUUGGUGUGAAUUGCAGAAUCCCGUGAACCAUCGAGUCUUUGAACGCAAGUUGCGCCCCAAGCCUUCUGGCCGAGGGCACGUCUGCCUGGGUGUCA
rnacentral:rRNA from 5 species